GUAGGGUGCAAGCGUUGUCCGGAAUUAUUGGGCGUAAAGAGCUCGUAGGCGGUCUGUCGCGUCGGCUGUGAAAACUCGGGGCUCAACCCCGAGCCUGCAGUCGAUACGGGCAGACUAGAGUGCGGUAGGGGAGACUGGAAUUCCUGGUGUAGCGGUGAAAUGCGCAGAUAUCAGGAGGAACACCGGUGGCGAAGGCGGGUCUCUGGGCCGUAACUGACGCUGAGGAGCGAAAGCGUGGGGAGCAAACAGGAUUAGAUACCCUGGUAGUCCACGCCGUAAACGGUGGGUGCUAGGUGUAGGCGGUAUUCCACGCCGUCUGUGCCGCAGCUAACGCAUUAAGCACCCCGCCUGGGGAGUACGGCCGCAAGGCUA
rnacentral:rRNA from 1 species